rnacentral:rRNA from 1 species
CCCUUAGGUGUUCUGGGCGGCCCGCGCACUACAUUGGCACUAGCAAAGAGAUCCUAGAUUGAAUUCUUUGGGGUAUUCUUCUAAAUGGUGUCGUGACUGGGAUAAAUCCUUGUAAUUAUUGGUUUUGAACGAGGAAUUCCUUGUAAUCGCGGUUUAUCAGCUCGCGUUGAAUGCGUCCCUGCCCUUUGUACACACCGCCCGUCGCUCCUACCGAUGGAUCGUCCGGUGAAGCUCACGGAGUGACUGUUCACGCAACGGUUUACGAAGUGAAAUGGACCUCACGAUUUAGAGGAAGGAGAAGUCGUAACA